UUGGGGAGUCCUGUGUGUGGGCUCAGCCUUUUGGAUAAGGAGGAAUGCAUCAGAAAAAAAUAAAAGGAAUGAAUAAUAUGAAAAGAGGCAGCUCUGGCAGGAGCCCCCAUGUCGGUCACUCACUCGAAGUGUGAGGGCCACUGCGCUGCAGACCUCUGCACAGGGAGCGCUGCUCCCUCGGUGGCCUUUGCCCAGUUUCUCAGAGCAUUUGCACUUUAUGCACUCGACUAAUUGGAAAGGGAGGCCUGUGCACACAACAACCCAGUUCGCUGGCCCUUUACAUCUGAACAUGUUUACUCCCAAAUGGUGAAACAGGUACAAACUGCCCCAAACCGAGCAAACACACAUACCAAGGAGGAGGAGGCAGAUAAGGGAUAGGAUACACGAUGUUUAUCGCAACAAAACAUGUGGAAGAUAAGCAGGGUCAGGCUGGGAGCCGGAGCAGCCUCGCUGUUAUUGCUGUGCGUGCUCGUUCUCGGUAUGUAGCAAAAGCAAGUGCACCUUUCUCCAGAAACAGUGCAGUGAAUUGUCCUUGGGCUUUUCCCAGCUCCUCCUGGGGUCGUAUUUCCAGUGAUGCCAAAGGUCGAUGAGUGCUUUAUUCUGACUUUAAUAGGGCUGGUACAGUGGGCUGCCCGCAGUGGGGAAACCCACUGUCUUAGCUUCAUCUCCAUCCACCUGAGUAAUGGGGGGGGAAGGAGAAAACACCACGGGGACCUUUUAUUCUUUCAGCCAAAGUGGAGACGAUUAACUUGGAAUAAUGGGUGAGAAUGGGCAAUGGGCCACCUGGUACAAAGAGCAGGAUGCAUUUGUGGCCUGAUCAGCUCAACCGUGGCAUCCUCUCCCCAAAGACUCAAUAAACCUUAUGAUUUAUGACAUCAGCAGCAGCACAGGAGAAAGCAGUCCAUACAGGUGCUGCUGCAGCAUGAAAAAAAUGAGUGAAGAAAGGCAAUGCUGUUUAUGCUUCAAUGGUAAGAAAGAGUUAAAUCAACCUAUCCAUACCCAAGUGCAGUUGCUAUGGCAAAUCCUCCCCUUCAAGGCUGAGUGAGCCGCUCCGGCCCCCCUGCCUUGUGCUUCUCAGUUGGCCCAAGCCUGGACAUGCCCGGCGCUCGAGCAGGCAUGUCAUGCUGAUUACCGUGAUAAAUACACUGGAAUAACAGCAACCCUAAGACGCAGCGUCACGCACCUGCAUCAUCACUCUUUGACCAGUUUGGAUAUUAUACCCUGCGCAAAGGACACCAAAGUGCAAGGCCCGGCAUCUGCUGUCCGCCAGGGGCGUUGUUCCAGAGUUCGAUGGACUCAACUCUGGCCUUUACUCUUCUCAAACACUUGGCUGACUCCUGUGAUUGUACUGCGAGUCUUGCCCUCUGCAGGGAUUUUCUGGAAUGAAGCCACUCUGGUCCUGAGAUAACCUUGUCUUUCUUAUCAAAUAAGAGUGCGGAAAGCAAAGCCUGAAAACGUGUGACCCCUGGAAGGCUUAGAUCAUAAACACUAGAAAGCAAAUGUAAGGAACCUGCUUGAUUUAAUUGUUCAUGGUUUUUAAAUUGAACACCUGCUUUUUUGUGAGCCAGAGCUAGGAUUUUGGAAAACGUUGGCAGUAACUGAGGGGAAUAUAACCACUCCAUCUGCUCCCAGGUUCUGGAGUGCAAUGGGGACUUUGUAGAAGAGUGGGUGGGAAGUUUGCAAAGAGAAAGCCACCGGUUAUUCUGCAAUACAAAAUGCAGUCAGGGGAUCAAGAGGCUACUGGGCCUGCCCUCCAUUUGUUCUAAGGUGGCAAAAUAAUUGCCCAGCUGUAGGCAAGCCAGCUCAGAUGGAGCAGCUGGAACAGACUGUCCCUGGAGGUGGCAUUUGAUUGCAGGUGGAGUGCACUAAAAGGGACCCAGAACUGCCACCUUUCUGUUUCUCCACAAAAACACUACACUUACGUUGUAGAUUUUUUUUCCCCCAUGAUCUAUAAUUCUCUGUCCUCGAUAGGAAAUAAUAGAGCAGUGAAGUGGAAAUGGUUUUAAGCUGUUGGCAUGUCAGGAGCGGAGGGGUUAGGGAAUUAAUAGAAGUGUUUUGUUGCUUAGGCAGAAUAGCAUAUGGCAUCGCUUUGCAAAAGUCUCCAGAAUAGCUGGGCAUACAAGGGGUUUGGUCCUGGGACCAAUAUAGAGGAGGGCAGAAGUGAAUGCCAACCUGCCCACCUGGCAACGUGAUUCCUAAGGGAACCCUUUGGAGGAAGUUAUGCAUUUCAUGGUUUUUUCCAACCAGGGCCUACGAGAGGGUGAGGUCAAGAGCAAAUGAAGCUCAUAAAGUUAACUGCCUGUGUUUCAAUACCUGGAAGGCAAAGAACACUGCAAGGACUUAAUUAAAGACGGGUCAAUCCACAGAUUCAGUGUCGAUGCUUUACCAUGUCGAAAGGUAUGCGUUCAGCCGGAGGAGGUGGUUCCUUGCUGCUUCAGGAUUUUCUCAAAGGGUGACAGAAAUUGGGACGCUUGGGUCCACAUCACUGAUGUCUUUCAUUGCUCAAGAAGUGGGAUGAGGAGCACAGGGCAAUUCCUUCCACUGGUCACAUUUUAGCCGACACUCCCCAGUCAGGCAGGCAUGUUCCCCACACGUGCUGUGUUCAGUCUUGAUUUCUAGUACUAUGUAAGAGUAAUACGGCCACUCCCCUCUUUCAAAGUCGAAUAGCUGACUUUUCCCCUCCUUGGAGGAUGGGAGGGUUUUGCUUUGCUGUGCACCUCCCUAAUUUUGCAGGAGUUUUGAAAUGCAAGUAUCGGUCAAGUAGUAAGAGUUCACUAGCUGCCUGCUGUUCGUUGGGUCUUGGGUCUGCCUACAACACAGUAACAUCCAUAAUCAGUGGUCACCAUCAAGGGUCUUCCUACGCCCAGUGGCCCCUCAGGCUAGCUUGGAUAAGGCACACCGCUUUCUGUAGCCAACAGCAAGCAAGAAAGCAAUGCAGGUAACAUCAUAUCCAGACACCUUUGACUCCUUGUCUUGAAUCAUGAGGGGCACCACUUAUAGCUGGGUUGGCUAGGAGCAGCCUUUGGCAUGAAUCUGGAGUGGGGCUUGAACUCAUAUCUGUGGACCUGUAGUGACACACCUUGUUUCUGAUCCAUUUUUGAAUCAACGUAUUGUGGGAACAUUUGGGCAGCUUUCCCACCAUGUCUCAGCAGGAGAUAGUGUGCCCUGCAAAGAUGAAUGCCAAGCAGCACCGGCAGCAUGUAAGGCAGUGCUCUCUGGGACAUCCAAGGCACAGAGCGAGGAAGGCCAGCCAAAAUCAUCUGACGCAUAGUUGGGAGAGAGUGCUGUCCAGCCUGCAAAUUAGCUAUAGCGAACUGGUUAUCUGUUGAACCCAAUGCCGGCUGGGAGAAUCGCUUUUUGUUGCUGGAGGAGCUACAAGGGCUGCUUGCAGACAUCGGACGUGCUACUUACUGGCGGGAAGGGUAGGAGUCCUGGUGGGCCUUUGCCUUGAGUACUGUCUGGACCUGGGAUGUGUCGGUCUGGCAUGGACAUGGAAGCCGGGGUCUCAAGCUGAGCCAUGCUCGCUGCCUGAGCUGCUGAAAUAGUGCAGUGCCGCUAGUCAAGCCUCACUCGCACCUCUUUAUGAGGACUCGACUCCUAGGGUUUGCUUUCUUGUUAAACGGAGAAGGGUCUGGCAGCAUCUGUAAAAUGUCAUGGUGAUCGUGCUGUUGGAAAAACUGAGUGACCACUUCUGCAGUGGCUCAUGGCAUCGGGGAAGGGGACUCCUUUUGUCCAUAGUGCGAGACAAUUAACCCCCAAGACACCGCUUCUUGAGCAAGUCGCCUGCACUCUUUCAUAUUUGACAGUGCAUGCUGCUCCUCCAAACAGAGAAGCUUGUAACCAGCUCGGUGCAAGACUCAUUGCCCGGGGUGAAUGGCUUUCUUAGAGGCAUAUCCUGUAAAAUAGCUUAUUAUCUGAAAUAGCAGAUAAUGCACCGGCUUUGCGAGGCGGGGAUGAAAUUGGAAGGAGUGUUAAUGGCAGGUCAGCAGAGUCCAGAGUGAAAAGAAGGCCGUGGUUUGUAAAGAGUCCUGAGCGGCGGAAGCCAGGUUUCUAUUUGUUCCUGGCAAAGGGACGAGCUUUACAGUACAAAGCACUCCUGGAGUACGCACGCUAGCUCUUGUGAAACUGCUGACUCCCUGCCCUGCUGUUUAACUUCUGCAUUAAAAAAAAGAAUAAACUUGCUGUUUGUUGCUGU